rnacentral:lncRNA from 1 species
CCUUGGGGCUGUCAUGCCGCAAACUUUUCUUCCAGGGAUUAACAAGAGAAACUCAUGAGCACACGUGGAGCUUCCCGCAACGCACAACAGAGAGAGAGCGAGAGAGAGACAGAGAGAGAGAAAGAAAGAGAGAGAGCAAGAGAUGGGACCAUGUAAAGGCACUUCUAACAGAUCUCCUCUCAUCCUCCCUCUCUUCUUCCUUCCUUCCUCUCCUCCUCCUCGUGCUGCUCUGCCAGUAAAGCCUGUUCCUGCUCACCUUGGCCAGGCUGAUGUGGGAUGCAAGCAGCUCCAUGUGAAUGCCUUUUUGCUCUUUAAAGAGCAGCUGUAUAGCUGCCGUGGCUAUCAGGAUCAGGGUGUGAUCUCCUUUUCUACUCGUUCCUCUCCUUCGCGCUCCCCUCAGUCCUCGUGCCUGCCUGUUUGUGUGUUAUUUCUCACCAGCAGACACUCCGCUACCCCACACACCCCUCUCCAGAGGGCAGACUGUGGGUUGCGUUCCCUCUUCUAGUCGGCUGGGCUGUGUGGGGUUCGGAGUCAGAGCGCUGUGAGAUGUAUUCCCUCUGAAACCCGGAGUGAGGGGGGGCAGGAAGUAACUCAGCAGCCGUAGAGGUAGCAUCGGCGUCGACAGCGGUGGCAACAGUGAGCGUGUGAGAGAGAGAUUAGAGUAGUGGAGCACGUUGCUGAGCUGAGCUGUGCCAUAGCGUGUUCUGUCUGGCUCCGUGCGCUCUGGUGAGGCAGGGGCGUCCAGGAGGGGAGACAUGUGGCUCAGCCCAAAGCCUCAGGACCAGGAACAGUGAAGAGCAGCCCUCGGCAGCCUCUAGCAGUAUGGCAGAGCCAGAGACCCACUGAUGAUUCCAGCCUGACUGAUGCCAGCCCACGUGUGGGUUACCAUGCGCCACAGCCGCGCCGCACCAGAGGGAAACACAGCCAUGUGAAAGUGGACUUGGUCGAAGAGCAACUCUUGGACAUGUUUUCCAGGGAAAAGUUUGUAUUUUUCUCCAUUUUUGAACUUGUUUUGUUUCUCUUGGUGCUGUUUGGCGGUCCCGAGCUCAGCCAGCAGGCAAGGACUAAAGCCAGAUGGAACAAGGGGGGCAACUCCCAGACAGUCCUAGUCAAAUCCAAGCUUUUUUCUUCAAGGGUCAAUCCACAGAUACCACAGGAGCCAACCCCUCUCCAGAGAUGGCAGAUGACAGGGAUUCUCCUCCAGAAAAGAAGUCUGCCGUGGCUGAGCUUUUUGGGGAGUUGUUCACGACCCAGGAGCAGGGAACCAAGUCAAAGGUCAAGGUCAUGGAGGAGGAGGUGACCUCACACAGGGAAGUGGACUGUAUUCCCUUGGAUGCUGAUCCACUUACAUUGUGGAAGACCAAAGUGUUAAUAUAUCAUCAUGUUGCCAAGGCGCUGCCUGGCUGUGCCUGGGACCUCUGUCCCUAGCGAGAGGGUAUUCUCCACAGCGGCUGACAUUGUCACUGCAAGCCGAUCUGUGCUCACUGCAGAUCAUGUGGAUAGACUAAUCUACUUAAAUAAAAAACUUGAAAAU